rnacentral:rRNA from 1 species
UCCUACGGGAGGCAGCAGUGGGGAAUAUUGCACAAUGGGCGCAAGCCUGAUGCAGCCAUGCCGCGUGUGUGAAGAAGGCCUUCGGGUUGUAAAGCACUUUCAGUCGUGAGGAAGGUGGUGUAGUUAAUAGCUGCAUUAUUUGACGUUAGCGACAGAAGAAGCACCGGCUAACUCCGUGCCAGCAGCCGCGGUAAUACGGAGGGUGCGAGCGUUAAUCGGAAUUACUGGGCGUAAAGCGCAUGCAGGUGGUUUGUUAAGUCAGAUGUGAAAGCCCGGGGCUCAACCUCGGAAUAGCAUUUGAAACUGGCAGACUAGAGUACUGUAGAGGGGGGUAGAAUUUCAGGUGUAGCGGUGAAAUGCGUAGAGAUCUGAAGGAAUACCGGUGGCGAAGGCGGCCCCCUGGACAGAUACUGACACUCAGAUGCGAAAGCGUGGGGAGCAAACAGGGUUAGAUACCCUGGUAGUCCACGCCGUAAACGAUGUCUACUUGGAGGUUGUGGCCUUGAGCCGUGGCUUUCGGAGCUAACGCGUUAAAUAGACCGCCUGGGGAGUACGGUCGCAAGAUUAAAACUCAAAUGAAUUGACGG